rnacentral:lncRNA from 1 species
AGGAGGAGUGGUAGUGAUCCUGGGUGCAGGUGCAGAGACUGGAGGGCUAGGAGUUGGAGUGGUAGUAGUUGCUGUAGCCACCGGCGUUGGAGUGGUUGUAGGUGUUGUAGCCACCGGAGUUGGUGGUGGUGCAGGUGUUGGAGUGGUGUCUGGUAGUGGAGAUUUUGUGGGAGAAGUUGAGAGGAGGAUGGAGAUUGUGCCACGGUGGAGUUCCAGAACAAUGCCAUUAGCAUCAAGGCCAGAGCCUUUGAGCUGGCCAUUGUUAAAGAGAAGAGCCAAGGAAGAGUAGAAGUGGCUUGAAAAGAGGAGAGAGUGGUG